CAUCACCCACGCCUCACCAUCCGCUCUCCUCAUACCACAGGGCCAUGAUGCCAGCUUGCCCCAUGCAGACACCCCAAUCCUGCACUUCUCUCAGGAGCAGGUGCUGACCAUUACUGAAAAGCGAUUACAGACAGUGUGGGCCAGGGGUGUGGGCCAGGAGAGAUAACCAAGUGAGCGAUGCAAGAGGCUCCGGGGCCGUGUGUCCCAACGGCUGCCCCUGCUCACAACUCCUUGCUGGCCCAGUGGAUGUGUACAGCAGGAGCUUGAAUACUUCUGUCUGUCCCCAGAGACAAAACCAAGCACCUACUAUCGAGGUCAGCAUUUGGAUCUACAAGCCACAUACAAAGUCAUUGCUGCUGCUUAAGCUGACAGAAGCAUAGGAUCACCUUCUUACUCGAACUGAAUCAUCAUCACCACCUGACGUGUGCAACCAAUCUGCAGAGAGAAGGAAUCCUCCCUCCCUUCUUCCCGGGACUGGCCCCAAACAGGAUUGAACCGCUUCUAACAAAGCAUGGAAACUUCAGAAAUAACAAGCUCAGAGUCCCUUGUACUUUCACGAGGAGAGUUGUUCUUCGUUGGAACCACUGCCAGUCAGCCCAGAGGUUGGUUUAUGGAGCUUGGCCGGAUUUCUUACUUAUAACUGGAUUAAUGCUAACCACAGAUUACCUUAUACUGCAACACAACUCCAACAAGCCUGGAAUGGUCAAACCUAGCAAGUAUACAAAAUACAUAAUCUGUAUUAAAAAAAUAAAUGAGAAAACACUAUAGAACCAUAUCCAAAUUAUGUGAGAGUAUUCCUGUGAUGGGAAUGUGCCCUUUUUGUUCACUAAAAACAGGAGAGAGCAUAGGGUUGUGAUGGGAAUGUGACCUUCUUGUUCACUAAAAACAGGAGGAAACAUAGUGUAAACAAGUAACCGCCAACUAGCAUGUGAUAACAUAUGAGACUAAACAUUGCUGAGCUAAUCAACUACAAGUUGUUCCAAGUCCCAGGUUCCCAGAGGGGGGGGCACCGAGGAAGAGUACCAGAGGCCUUCAUCGACGACCACCAGGAGGCAGAAGGAGACCCUCUAGCAACCGGGCGGACAUGCGCGGAGGAGCACCGGAAAUGCGACGGGGUUAGAAAGCGGGAGGGUACAAAAGGGGGAACGGAACAACUUUCGGCGCGGCAGUUGGUGGAGCGAGGACUCCCCUGCCGCCCAGCGCUGCAAUUUGCUUUCUCUUUUCUGUAUUAAUAAAUUGGCUAUAUAAUUGACCCGACUGGCCCAUUGCGCUCAUUUAUAACAAUUCCCUUCCUUAUCAACACAUAUACAAAAAAAAAUCCAUAUGAAUAUCCACUUGGCUAGCAGGAUUUGGGUCUUUAAACUCUGCAGAUCUUCAAAGGCCUGCCAAAGCUAGGCAUCAAAGGUAACUGCUAUGCACUUUAAAUUCUGUGCAGAUCCACACUGACAGAGGUACA